CCGAACUGAGCCUUUGAUUCCCACUUUGCUGCCUCUUCCUUGGGAUCAUUUCCUUUCGUCUCAUACGCUAUUACACGCCGCCUCAAGUCCUAAACCAGAAAACCCUCCUUGACUCCUGCUUUCUUAUCCCCGACAGUCCUUUAGGCUUCGCCUCCAGCUUCCGGCAGCCGUCGUGUUUCCCCGACUGUUUGCUCUGUUCGCCGAGUAAUUGAGUUACUACCAUGACGGAUGAAACUUCCCAUGAUGUCAAGGAAGAGGUGGCAGAAGUAAGCUCUCUUCUAUUUUCGGUUGUCCUACAUUGAUUGGGUGUUGAUUCUUAGCAGACCAACGAAUUCUAACAAGAAACUUGUUACCUUUUUUAUAUUGCCACUGUGUACUCUUGUGCGGGUGCUUGAUACUGUCAUAGCCGUGUAAUGAAAUGACCAGGCUGCAAAGACAUCUUGUAUUUUUCAAAUUGCAUAAAAAUUAUGCUUCUCUAUUUGUGUAUAUACUGGUUCAAGUUAUUUGCUCCACCUUGACCUCUUCAUGAUAAACAAAAAUUUCCAACAUUUUGAUGCUUAUAGUAAUGUAAAUGACUGGGUUCACUAAAGUGGUUUUGGGUCUAACUGUUGUGUGCAUUUGUGGGUAAAAAUUUUGCUAGAUUUCUCUUCUUUUGGUAAUGUAUGUUUUGUUUUGUGAGGAUUAUUUUGUUAAGUUGAAACCUGUCAAUUUACUUCGUGUGCUGUUAUAUGCAUAAUGAGUUAUUAGCACUGGACUUCUACCUAAGAUCAGGGAUGGAGUUAGUUUGAUGCUCCAUUAAUGAGCUGAUAUAAAGGUAUUAUGCUUUUACUUCAUUAGUUGCAUUGGUCAUUGCAUAUGUACAUUGUAGCUUGCCCCCUUUGAUCCUACCAAAAAGAAGAAGAAGAAGAAGGUUGU
rnacentral:misc_RNA from 1 species